GAGAGAGAGAGAGAGAGAAAGAGGCAUCUUUGAAGUAGUGAAACAUGAGAUAGAUUUUGUGUGUUUGCCAAGUCUCAGUUGGAACUAUGCGCUGGCUGCCUAAUCAAAUUAAAAAGAAUUACAUACUAGGGAUGGUAAUGUUUCAAAGUAACUGAGGAUCAAAAUACAAUUUAUUGUUGAAUUAAAAGUGCCAAAGUGCUGGAUUUGAAUGAUUCUUUUUUACCAUGGCAUGAAUGUAUAUGGUUUCUUUGGGAAAAAAGCUAAGGAUAAUAAACUUCUCAUGGACCUGUAAUUUCUUACCAAAUUAUGUGAACUAGCAGUAAUGCCUUUAAAUUAUAUGUUUUAUACAUCAAUAUAAUUUGAGUUGAUGUUGUAUUAGUGGCUUAUUAUAUUUUGCUGUAAUCUUGACCCAAAAGUUGUAUUUGUUAUGAUCUGAAUUAGUAUUUACUGUCUUUAUCAAAAGUUUCUAAACAAUUUUGUCCUAUGGCUUUAACAAUUCUAUCAUGGCCAAUUCUAUUUCAGAUUUCUGAUGCUAAAAUUACA
rnacentral:misc_RNA from 1 species